GUGAGAACAGGUAACAGACGCGGCUCUCAGCAUGCACGGGUCGAGACCGCCUGUGGUAGCGACCUCAUGCACCACCGCUACAAAACUGGCUUUUGCAAACACUAGAUGGCAGAUCCUUCAUUCCGUGCGGCGCGCCAUGAGAAUACAGCUCCCGAGGAAGUAGGACCGUUGUGCCUUACGAGCGUGAGGGAAAACCUGGACGCGAUAGCCGUCAAGGAGGGAAGACUUAAGUAUUUAGUGGGGGAGAAGGGAGAGAGCAGCAGGCUUGUUUUAGGGGUCACAAAACAAACUUACGUGAGGGGCAAGGAGAGGCACAGACCACACAGUGUUACACAGGGACAGAACGUGGAAGGGUCUGUGAUGGUGGGUGUUAGUCUGCACAGCCUCACCCAUCGAGACGCUAACAGUCAGACACAACCCAAACGGACGUCAACGCUCCAAAACACCAACAGGAGAGAUUCUUUCAUUCUGCCCCGCGUUGAAGCAAAACUGUUCCAUCGCGUUUGUUGCGGCAGUAAAGGAACUCUCAACUCUUGUCCCGCCGGCGUCUGCUUGGGUCACGCUAUCGAUCUCCAUCACGGUGACUUUCCUGACGAACCUUGACCUGACAUGUCUAACUCCUGCAGGGGAUCACACGCUUCGAGAACCGUACACGUAGGGAAGGUAUUUGAACGAAUGCUUUAAUUCUCUUUUUCCAAGCUGCGAAGAGCAACUAAAAUAAACUUCAUAUGAUCGAAAUGACGUUAUUAAAAGACGUUUCUCCAUUUAAAAGCAAUAAUCAGAUGGCGGGAAACUACCGAUGCGUCAAAAACAAGCGAAAAAUUAAUAUAAAAAACAAUUAAAGCCUCCCAUUAAUCGUGUUCCUUAGACAUUUAUUGAUAAGUACUAGACGAAACUUUUGAAAACAUACUAAUUGUUGCAGGACAGGGAAACUACAGGUAACUUAUACGAGCACGCACGCUCUACCAUAUAUAAACCAAACCGCAUCAACACCCAACAACAACUUUUUAAGACGAAAAGAACCCGACCUCAACAGCGUGAAGCGGAGGGCGGGAGGAACGAGAGCGAGUCCACCAUACCUAAAGAGCUGCUCGUUUCCAUGUCGGCGUCACGUCAAUUAUCCGCGGAAGAUGAGUCUCGUAGUGCGUCGCGGGCGUGGAGGGAAAGUUGGACGCGACCGAGAAUUAGUCGAGGGAUACACGGAGACAGAUACAGAGAAAGAGAAAGAGAGAGAGGGUGAGGGUGAGAAAGAUGCGGAGAGAGACAGAAAGAGACAGAGAAAAGACAGAAAAAAAGAGAUAUAGAGAGUAAGAGAGACAGAGAGAAACAUAGAAACAAAUAGAGAAACCGAGAGAAAGAGGCAGAAUAAGAGAAACACAGACAGAGAGAAAGACAGACAAAAUAGAUAGAUAGACAGAUAGAUAGGCGCACAGAUACAGAAAGAUAGACACGGAUAGUUAGAUAGAUAGAGAAAUGGAAGGCAAAGAAUAGUUAUAGUGUUAAGAAUAGUGAGUUAGGGAACGAAUCAGGCCCUCCAGCCCCUUUAACCAGCUGCUGUGACAGUGUGGCGAGGCGGCUUCUAACGCCAUCUGCUUGGUCAGAAGUUCCCAGCGCUGCGACGGACGGGCGGCAUCGGCGGGGAACAGUUAGCGAAAGACAGCGUGCCAUUUGUUGUGUCUUUAGGAGCCGAGGACGAGGACCGGAGGAACAGCUGUGAACUCGCUUCUAUGUUUAUUUAUCUAUCUAUUUGUUUGUUAGUUUAUAUGAGUCCGAUUGUUUGUUUGUGGGUGACUCGGGUGUAUGAUGAAACGCUACAGGGAUUUCUUUACCUUUUCUUUCUUAAGCUAUUUUUGUGUUUUAUGAUGGUUACAUGUUGCAUUUUUUUUACUUUAUCUUUAAUCUUUUCUCAUACGAUCUUCAUGACGAUCUUUAUGCAAGGUUUUAAUAUUUAGUUUUUAUAUCUAUUUUUAGUGAACGUGCAAGGGGAGGAGACGAGAUGGGGGGGGAGGGGCGCAGUGUGGAUGAAUGCACUAGGAGGGGGGCGAGGAGGGAACGCUGGGAGGGGGAGAGUGACCUUCCACAUAACUCCCCGCAUAACCGUACGCUGCGACCACACCCCAGUAAGCACCCCACCGCACCCCAUCCUCUGUGGUGUGGGGUGUGGGGUGUGUAAGGGGAGUAAAGGGAGGGAGGUUGACGGUCAAGACACCUACAGCAAAGGGUAAAGGGAGGGUGCCCACUAUGCCUACUCACCCACUCAUGGCAAGGUCUCAAGGGCUCUAUAAUUACACGUGAUUGCAGUCUUUACGCCUCAAUUGUCGGUCAUUUCCCCUUUGGUAACUCGACAGAACGUCUUGUGUCUGGCUGAAGGCGUGUUGAAAGUGCUAGGGUGGAGGUGGUGGGGGUGUAGAGGCAGGGAUGACGGGGGGCAGGGGGAGGCAGGGGUACCGUAGGACUGGGGGGGUGGUAGACUAAGAACAGUCAUGCUUUUGCUAUGGGAACAUCAGACCAGCGGCUCGGUACUGGUGGACACGGGUGCUUACGGGACUUAUUUUUACCUCAAGAGCAACUACUGUCAUUAGUGUCUUGAGGGGUGGCAGGCAGGCUGGGGGUGGCUGGGUGUCUGGGUGGGUGGAGGACUACGAGGGACGGAGAGUGACGGGUGGGGGGAGAGGGAGAGAAGCAGUGGAGAAGAGGAACAGGGACAGGACGGAGCAAGAUGCCACCACCAAUCAGAAACUGUAUUCACAUGGAGUCGCCGCUCAUCAUCUCGCCGUUGGACACAAUUGGCAUCCAAAAGCAGAAAUCUAUACAUGUUUUGUUUUUCGUUACUCUGCUGUUGUAGUUUUCAAAGCACCCUCAAGGCUGUACACACACACUCAGGUGCUCGAACUCAGUGUGACCAAUGAUAUUUACAAUGCGAGGGUGUUGCUAUACAAAAAAAAAAAAAAAAAAAAAAACACUGCAAUUCAAACUUGAUCAGUAUGGGUUAUUGCAUAGUGGUUAAAAAAGGCAGAAUAUAUUACAUGAUAUUUACAAAACUAAUACUAAAUCAUGCACGCUAGCUAGUAUGUUGCAACUGUACAGAAUUUACAGGUGAUAUAAUAUAGUACAACAGGUAUGGAUGUUCAGGUUUGGGUGACGAUGGCAUGGGGUGUGGAUGACAGGUGUGUGAAUGACAGGUGUGUGGAUGACAGGUGUGUGAAUGACAGGGAUGUGGAUGAUGGAUGAGUCUCUGACGUGAGGGUUAUGUAGAGGCACUGAGCACGGGCUGAAAGGUGAGAUUUAGGUCGACUUAUGCCAUCACUGUUAAUGUCGAUAUGUCAUUGGCUUUCUUUGUGGUAAGGGAAAGAGACCAAAAGCUAAACAUGAUAUAAAAAUGACCUGUAAGAUGCUUGAAGCUCACAAACAAAUAAAAUCUCCCCAUAAUAAUGAUCUAGUGAUUGAAAUGAUAAAAACAACGGUAUUCUUCAGUACAUUUUAGCAUAGCACCCAUUCGCCCAUUUUCCGCAAUUUAAAAGGCAAUGCAAUAAAGAAAGUUAUCUACAAGACGCUUUAACCUCCUAAAACUAACAAAAUCCUCCCCAAAAGAAUGAUUUAUUGAUUGAAUGACAUUUCUGCUUUUGUUCGGAGCAGAGUCUAUUGUUUUUUGUUGUUGUUGUUGAUUUUUUUCCUUUUCUUGACCUGCCCUCUUUGAUGUAAAAAAUGCCUUCUUCAGGUCGUCCAUAGCUUCCAUUCUUUACACUCAUGACAGUUACUAUUUUAAGAUUUCUAUGGAGAUUUUCAUGAAUAAAUGGAUAAGGAAAGCGGAGUGCGGUUCAACGAUUUGCUCGCUUGAGGCUGUUGACCGAGAUAUGUUGUUGAGUGAAUCCGCCGACAGAGCGCUCACCUUUACCUGCAAUCAUCUCAUUUUUUCCACCUGGUGCCUCCCUCCUUCCUUCCCCCACCCGUUGCUGCUUCCUGUCGCUGUUUGUCUAAGGGCGGGACUCUACGUCUGCUUACAACGGGUUCUGGUUAGCAUUUACUUUCCUGCGCUAUCGUUCCUGUAUCGUGUAUGGAUUUGGUGGUUUGUUUACGUUUCUGAGUGUGUACAGGCUCGUUUUGGUUAGGCAAGAAUGAACGCUGGUGGUGAAUGAUUGAAAACUGAGGGGACAGAAUGAUUAAACCUUCAAUGCUUGCUAUGGUGGACUGCUAAAAGAAUUAUAUGAUGGCCUGUAUACCUCUCGCAUCUAAAAAUACUUGUAGUGGACGCUAAGGGAGAAGAAUGAUGGCCUGUAUACCUCUCGCAUCUAAAAAUACUUGUAGUGGACGCUAAGGGAGAAGAAUGAUGGCCUGUAUACCUCUCGCAUCUAAAAAUACUUGUAGUGGACGCUAAGGGAGAAGAAUGAUGGCCUGUAGAAGUAUUAAAUCUAAAAAUACUUGUUUUUGGUACGCUUAAAAGAUAGAAUAUUGGUUUGUAGAAGUAUCAAAUCUAAAAACACUUGUUACGGGACAUUGAGAUAAUAUACUGGCUUGUAAAAGUAUCAAAUCUAAAUAUGCUUGUUACGGGACGCUGAGACGAAGAAACAAUGGUCUGUAGAAACAUUAAAUCAGUAUUAAUAAUGAUAGAACGCUGAAGAGGCAAAAUAACUGCCUUCCAUCAAGCCAAUAUUAUCAUAACUGUGCCGAAAAGCUAUUGGUUAUUAAUUGCUAAACCUCUUCAUCAGUAAGACUAAAUUAAAUAUGACAAAAAUGACAUCCAGCUAAAUAAGUGAAUUGAUAAAUGAAUAAGGAAUUGAAUGAACACAUGAAUAUAAGGAUGAUAAGCAGACUGAAAAAAAUAAACAUGAUAAAUGUGUGAAUGAGUAAAUAUUGAAAGGGAGAGAGGAGGCGGGUGGAGGUGGCGAGGAAGGUGUGUGUGUGUGUGUGUGUGUGACGGGCGGCCAGGUAACUCCUCCCUCUCAGGUAACAGGUGCGUCAAGGCCCGCCGCUCUGUGUGUGCUCAGUAAAGACUCUAUUGAAGGCUCCUUAUGUAACGUGAAGGAAAGUGUUUGCCGUCCUGCGAGAGUGUUUUGGUGUCCUCUUAGUAACGAGUGUGAGUUUGUGUUGCGCUUUAUGUGUUUGUGUUUGCGUUUGUGUGUGUGUUUGGUGUCCCUUAAAUACCGUGUGUGUGUGUGUGUGUGUGUGUGUGUGUGUGUGUGUUUGGUGUCCUUAAGUAACAAAUGUGACGUUUAAUAGACUAAUAGCAACCAGUUUGUGUGUGUGUGUGUGUGUGUGUGUGUGUGUGUGUGUGUGUGUGUGUGUGUGUGUUUGGUGUCGUCUAAGUAACGCAUAUGCAGCUGUUUGAAAUCGGUUAAUCCUUUACGUUAUCAGUGUGAUCUUGUUAUGUGGUGAAUGAUUGGGAGUCGCUUUGUCUUGCUUCAGUACUAUUGCUUGGUGUUCUGAUAAGGAGUGUGACGCUGUUCUACGUUUUACGGAAUCGAGGGGAAGGCUGUUCGAAAUUCUAUGGGAUCGAGUGCCACGUUUUAUUUUAUCAUUGGGCUUGAGGGUGAAUCUAAUGCGACUUGUUCUUGGACUAAUUGAUUCCUUCUCUAUUUUUUCAGCAGUGGGGUCAUCUCAAGGGCGUGACAUAAACGUGAGUAAUGCACAUUUUACAUUAUAUUCUAUUGCACAAAUGACUAGUGUUCUUGUGACUACCGACUAUUGUUAACGUUCAAAAGUGCAGCAUUUCUAUAGCGUCAUUAUACAAGAUCUUUGAAGUUUCGAUGAUGGUUGUUUGAUGGGAACCUGAUGUCGAAUUUGAUGAAUAGUUUUUACUUUGACUUAAAUUGUAUCGGAAGGUGAGUUACUGUAUACUGUCCUUUUAAUAUCAGGUACGAGGAUAUUAUUGGAUCGUUGAGGUCAGUAAGUAGGAAUUGAUUGCAUGUUUAAAGCGGUGUGAUGGCAAAUUCAUUUCUCGUUUUUACUCCUAUUUAAUGAAUGACAAGUUGGGAUGCAUCAUAAUUCGUAAAAGAUGCGGGUAUAUUAAUUGACCGAUAAGAAACUUGUAAUUGCAUGUAUUAUAGCGAUGACAAAUUCAAUCCCUCGUUUUUGCUUUUACUUAACGAAUAACAAUUUGCUAUGUAUCGAAAUUUAUGAAUGGUACAAGACUAUAAAUUGAUCGAUAAGAAACCAGAACUAAAUGAAAGUGAUGACAAAUUCAAUCCCUCGUUUUUGCUUUUACUUAACGAAUAACAAGUUGCUAUGUAUCGAAAUUUAUGAAUGGUACAAGACUAUAAAUUGAUCGAUAAGAAACCAGAACUAAAUGAAAGUGAUGACAAAUGCAAUCCCUCGUGUUUGCUUCUACUUAACGAAUAACAAGUUGCUAUGUAUCGAAAUUUAUGAAUGGUACAAGACUAUAAAUUGAUCGAUAAGAAGCCAGAACUAAAUGAAAGUGAUGACAAAUGCAAUCCCUCGUUUUUGCUUCUACUUAACAAAUGACAAAUUACUUGCGUACCGUAACUCAUGGCAAAUACAAGUGGCUUAAGAUACCGAUAAGAAACUAAUAAACAAGAAUUAAUGAUCUGCCUGUGAGCGAUCCCGUCACGGCCAGCAAGUCAAGUGUGUCUGAGGGACGGAAAAUCAAACUAAAAACAACAGAACCGAAUAGAACCGUCUGAUAAGCACUCGAAUCUUUCUCUGGGCUGUAUCCUUCGAGGCGGAGAACGCGGGAUCGACGGCACACUUGAGGCACAGAUAACCGGAGUGAUGGUGAUGAUGGUGGUGGUGAGGAUGGUGUUGAUGGUGAGGUACUUGACUUGACUUCACCG